rnacentral:lncRNA from 1 species
GUACAAAUUAAAAUUGCAAUUACGGUAACCACUAAUAACCGGCGUUGAUCACAUUACAUUCAUAUUAAUAAAAAGAAUCUAUAAAACCAAUGCAUGAAAUAUUUGGCACUGGACGUUAUGUCUCUUGAUCGUGUGUCUUUAGUGAUGCUGGAAACCUAAAAUUUAUUAAAAAAAACGGAUAACCAGUUUAUGAUUUGAUGAGUUUUUGAAAUACACACAAAUUCAGAUGGAGAACUAUUAACAAAAGUUAAAAAAAAAAUGCUGCUUAACGCCCG